AUUUUAAAUACAAAGUGAGUGAUUUAGUUUUGAGAAAAUUAAUGAUCAUUAUUCUGCAGUUACUUUUGCAUUUGUUAUUAUAAAGUGACAGUUGUGACUUAGAAAACUACUUUUUAGUGUAGAUGUGACUAAAUUUAUUUUUGGUCACUAAAUAUGUGAGUCAAUAUAGAAAGUUAAAUUUAAUAAAGUAUUCAUUUGUUUUACUUCAAUAUCUUAAUACCAUUACUAGAUAGUGAGACUUGUAUUAUUGUGAUAAAAGGUUGUUAAUAUUUUGUAGGGACAUACACAUUGCCUAACAUCACCCAUCUUUAUUUCCCAUGAUCCUCUAUGGUUAUGUCGUGUUAGUGGUCAAUCUAAUCAUUAGAACCUGAAUACUAAACUUCAUUUAGUCACAGUGUUUUGUUUUUAACUCUUUUUAAACAUUUUCUUACAACAUAAUUUGGAGUUAUUCAACUUGUCAGCGACAUCUUUAUCAAUAUGUAAGUUGAAAUCAGCAAACAUUUCUUAUGAAAAUCUUUAGAAUAAAAGCGAGGAAAGAAGUAAAAUGCCCUGUUUGUAAUCACUGGUAUAGAUGUCCGCACCGAUGUCAUCUGAAGUGUAUCUUAGUGCGUUUUUAAUCACUGGUGUAUCUACUUACCUUUUCCCCAUCAUUAGUAUUAAGAGCACUUAGCUAUUUACUUUUUAAUUUUCUGUAGUUUCUCAGAUCAUCAAGAGAGACUAAAGUUAAGUAUUUGGGGAGCAGAAGUCAAAUUAACCUAAAUAACUUUUUUUCUACUUUUCCUUGUAAUAAUAUAUCAGAUUGUCAGUGACCAGAUUAUUUAUGACAAUCAAUUGUAAGAGAAGAAUACCACGUUAGUUUGGCUUGAAAGAUAAAUGUCAAAAAAUCUUACAGAGUCAUUUGUGCAAAUAACUAUGUAAUUAAGAUAUCCAAGAAAAUUUGCCUUAAUAUUUAGAGGUUACUUAGUAAAAAUCAAGAGGGGAAAAAAAGGAUGCAAAGUCUAGCUGCUGUUCUUAAUUUCACUGGUGCACCAUUUGCAUAAGUUUUAUUAAUUUCACAAUGGCAAUUACCAUGGGAAGAGUACUUAAGAGCUGCACAUAACUGAAGCAUUAGAUGUUAUUUCCUUUUAGCUGUUGUUCAAAAUGAGGGUGGUGCCUUUGUCAGUUUAAAUUCCUGUAAGUAUGUAACUCCUAGACUAUGAGUAUACAUUUUGUAAAUCCUUGAAAAGUAUAGUAAUUAUAUUCAUUGUUAUGUUACUACCAGUCAUUGCAAUUUAUAAAAAUUCCCUGAAAUAAUACAUAAAGUAAAAAUUUUACAGUAUCAAUUUUAGUGCGAUAGUGAAUAACAUGUGUCUGAUGCCUAGAAAGAGAAAAAAAUCAUAAAUACAUAUCAAGUUAGGUGAAUCUUUGGUGAGAAUUACACAAGGUGGGAAAUAGAGUGGCAGUUAAGAGACUCGGGUAAGAAAUUUAGUUACAAAUGGAACUAGGAGCUUCUCGGUGGAAAAAGAAGUAAGCAAAUGUAAGGAAUACAAACCCUGGAAAAUAGCAGAAGGGAGAAAGAUUAAACUGAUAUCUAUUAGAGCAGAAAUCUAUAGUAAAAUGUGGGUGUUCUGAUGAAUAAAAGGAGAUUCAGAAUGGAAAGAAGAGCUAAAGGAACUGAAUGCUGGAUUGUUGAUUGCUGUUUAUUAUGAUACCACUGGCUUCUAUGCGGAGCAUGAUUUCUAGGUGGCAAUACUUGAUGUGAGGGGAUCAGGUAGAAGAAGUUACAGCAGAUGACCUCUGAUCGAAUCUUUGAGGAAGGAGUAACUUGGUUCUGAGGCUGCUUCAGAGAUGUUCCAAAGUCCUUCAGGGCAAAGUACUCAGCAAGCCAAAUCACCAUGCACUGGGUAUCAUUUUCUAAGCCUAAGAGCAUUACAUGUGUUCUUUUUCUAGUUUCAAAUUUAUUGUCUGAUUUAUUUAAAUAUCCCAUAACAUUUGAAAUAAGGGUCUCUUUUUAAUAUAAUGAAACAUUUCAGUGUAUAUGUUUAUGUGUAUGUAUUAUAUUCAAUAUUUUAUUGACAUUUUCCUUACCUGUUUGAAUAUUUUGUGUAUUUGAUCUUUCAUGGCCUUAGAGAGGGAAGAAAGUCUUUAACAUCACUUUGGGUCUGUCUUUUCCUGUUUGUCAUUUCUACAGUUAAUGCAGUUCUUGCUUUACGCAUGUUGAAGCUGUGUUAUUUCAUACAUGAAGUUUCACAAGAGAUAAUCCUAUGUUAUAGCGUUUUCCUUUUAUACCAUGUUUCUCAUAAAAUGCCCGUCUUUAAAGUUGGACAUCUGAGCAAUAAAAUAUUGUAAUCCUUUGUGUAAACAUGUCCAGUAUUAUCAGCAAUUGGAUGUAUCCAGAUUGUGGUAGUGUGAAAACAUGGUUCCUAAAAUAUAUUAUAGUAAAAUAGGAAGAACAAAGUUAUAUAAUACUUCCUUGCUAAUUUUAUUCAAUAUUUGGAUACCAGAAGUAUUUUGUAGUGUUCAUAAAUCACUGCACAAUCUGUUUCACAUUUACCAGUUAUGUCCCCCAUAACUUCUCUACACAUCCAGACUUUUCUACACAUUAUUACAUAUAUGCUAUAUAUGCUAUAGUCUUAUUAACUAAGCAUAUUUGAUUUCAAGAUGCCACUUCUGAUCACUAUACAUUGGCAAAAGAUUAAAAUAUUGAAAACUCUCUAUGUAUUUCUAUAGUGGAAGCACAAACAUAAAUUUUUAUAUUAAAAUGCCCUGUAGGUAUCAAGUUAUUAAAUCUUCUUUAGAAAACUUAAAUUUUAUCUCACUGUCCCUCUAGAUUAUUCUAUUUUACUGGGGAAAAACAUAAAUCCUUAUUUUUAUCAGCCUUUUCAUUUGCUUUACAUACUUUUUGGGUGUAGGUGUUGUUGGUAGGGGAAGUUUUAUUGGUCAAAAAAGUUUGGGAAAUGUUGCAUUGCUCAUAGCCUUUAUACCCCUUCUUGGAGACUUAAAGUUAACAUUAGCAUAUUUAAGACCAUAAGAAGUCUAUUUUACUGCCUUUGUGAUAUUUUUUGACAUCUAAGGAACACAAUUUGGUAAUUUUACUGUAGAUACAUUUAUUUUAAAAGCAGGUUCAGGAAGGCUAUAUAACUUCUUAAUGCCAAUGAAAGAUCAACUUUUGUUGUAAAUUCACAUAAACAGGAAUAUUCCAAGGGCAAGCUCCUUCUGUGGUCACUGUGUGUGUUCCCUCCCAGGGAUCCUGCUAAACCACAUGUUCUAUGGAAAUGGGGGCACAUUGACAGGUUUGCAUUUUCCACCUUAUACUUCACACACUGCUGGAAAUGCAAGCUUCUCUUUUUGUGGUUCAAGUGAUUAACACAUUUGAUUUUAUGUCUAUUGUCUUUCUAGCUCUAUUUGAAAUAAAAUAUUCCUAUUGCUUAUGAAACUGUCUAUAAUGCUAAGCCUUAACUGUCAUCAUAAGAACAACUGUUGUGGUAAAGUAAGCAGUGGACUUCCCAUUAGACAACAGAGGUUUAGCGUCUGGCCCCACCACUGCUGAAAUAUGUGAGGUGUGAAAAGUUGUUUCAAUUAUGUGACUCUGCUUCCUUAAAUGUGAAAUUGAGGUAAUCAUAUGCAUAAGACUAUUCUUACAGAUUUAAUUGUAUGACCCUUUUAAGGAGAAAAGCAUUACUGUUUUGUCAUUUUGCUUUCUAUAUUUAACAAAAUAUCUCCUGUUAAAUGUUUGGAGGUUAUACAAAAGUUUUAGCUGCUCACAUCAAUUUGUUGCCCUUCUGGAGAGUUAACGCUAUUUUGUAAAAGAUAUUUCUAGAGAAAUCUCGCUCUGCAAUUAGAACUUGCUUUUUGAAUAGGUCAAGAUUAGUGUCAUAGAAUGAAGAUGUAAGAAUUUGAAAAGGUAUUUGAAAUAACCUUGCUUUUCAUUGUCUCUCCUCCUACCCAUUCCAUUGCUGAGAAAAUGGAUGACUAGAGAAGCUAAAAGAAGCUAAAUUACUUGCAACAGGCUGAAGAGGAAGAGGAAGAGGAGGUGUUGGUCUUGAUGUCUCAGGGCAGGCAGAGGUGGAAGGAAAUCUGUGUGUAAAGCGCCUGCACAAUUCAAACCCAUGCUGUUCGAGGGUCAACUGCAUUCUUGAAAAUUGCUAAAAGAGUCCAUUCCUUGCAUCCCAGGGAUGAAGCCCACUUGAUCAUGGUGGAUAAGCUGUUUGAUGUGCUGCUGGAUUCGGUUUGCCAGUAUUUUAUUGAGGAUUUUUGCAUCGAUGUUCAUCAAAUUAAUUCAAGAUGGAUUAAAGACUUAAAUGUUAGACCUAAAACCAUAAAAACCCUAGAAGAAAACCUAGGCAAUACCAUUCAGGACAUAGGCAUGGGCAAGGACUUCCUGUCUAAAACACCAAAAGCAAUGGCAACAAAAGCCAAAAUUGACAAAUGGGAUCUAAUUAAACUAAAGAGCUUCUGCACAGCAAAAGAAACUACCAUCAGAGUGAACAGGCAACCUACAGAAUGGGAGAAAAUUUUUGCAAUCUACUCAUCUGACAAAGGGCUAAUAUCCAGAAUCUACAAUGAACUCAAACAAGUUUAC